ACGAAUAUGCCGGAAUUGGUAGACGGGUGGGUUUUAGGCACUCAUAAUAUUUAAUUGUAAGGGUUCAAGUCUCUUUAUUCGUA
rfam:Crinipellis perniciosa mitochondrion, complete genome.